GACGAACGCUGGCGGCGUGCCUAAUACAUGCAAGUCGAACGCAGUGGGGACGGGUGAGUAACCCGUGGGUAACCUCCCAUCAGAGGGGAUAACACUUGGAAACAGGUGCUAAACCGAUAUUGAUGGUUGGACCCGCGGUGCAUUAGCUAGUUGGUGAGGUAACGGCUCACCAAGGCCACGAUGAAUAGCCGACCGAGGAGGGUGAUCGGCAAUACUGGAACGGAUACACGGCCCAGACUCCUACGGGUGGCGGAAGAAGGAAAUCGUCGGGAAGGGACGAAGGUCUGACCGAGCAACGCCGCGUGAGUGAGGAAGGUUUUCGGAUCGUAAAACUCUGUUGUUAGAGAAGCGGUAUCUAACCAGAAAGCCACGGCUAACUACGUGCCAGCAGCCGCGGUAAUAC
rnacentral:rRNA from 1 species